CGCGUAGGUGGUUUGUUAAUUUGGAUGUGAAAUCCCCGGGCUCAACCUGGGACGUGCGUUGGAAACUGGCGAUCUAGAGUACGGUAGAGGGUGGUGGAAUUCCCGGUGUAGCAGUGAAAUGCGUAGAGAUCGGGAGGAACACUCGUGGCGAAGGCGGCCACCUGGACCAGUACUGACGCUGAGGCACGAAAGCGUGGGGAGCAAACAGGAUUAGAUACCCGCGUA
rnacentral:rRNA from 1 species